GCAUGAGGUCCACACUGCGCAACAGUACGUAUGUGUAAAUCUUAAUAUUUUUUUCACCAAUAAAAAUCAGUAAGUAUUUAACCUUGCAUGGAUGCCAUCACAAAACUUGUAAAAUGCUAUAGUGCCAUAAACACAUUUCCUUAAAUAAGAAUGCAUUUCUUAGGAGUUCUCUGUUUUCUCCAAAGUGCUAGUUGACAAACUUCUUUUAGAAGUUCCACCUGCAGUUCACUCAGAGCUUCUCCUCUCUUGCGUCCCCUCUUUCACAGGUGUGGCAGGUGCUUCUUUUGCUUCCUGUUUGACGGGCGUGGCAGGCAUGUCACCAUUGAGGCCCUCCACCCCAGUAACAGACAUCAAGCUUUUCCGUUCUUUGGAAUUAGACUUGUGCUCCACUUUUGUGACUCUAAACCUUCCCACAGAAAGUACUGUAACCUCUCCAAGGCGACUUCUUCUGUGCUCUUUGGAUUUGUGAGCUGGCUUUAUAUGAUGCCAUCGUUUGUGGCUACAGCGAGAACAAACAUCCUUCUCUAUUACUCCUCCAACAGUAUGUAAGUGAUGGCCUUUGCAGUUGUGUUUAAGUGAAGCAGCACCAGGUGACAAAGGAGACCCUGGACUUGUUGGACUUCCAGGAGCGUUAGGAGACAUGGGGCUUUCGGGUUCAAAGACACUGCUAUCUGCUACCAUGGCCUUUAACACAUCAGCAUUUGCUUCAUUUUUCAUAAUGUAGUUAAUAAUUUGUCCUACAGUGUCACUAUUCUCAUGCGCAGUUUCAUUCAUUUCUAUUUUUUCAUCAGGCUUUUCCUCUUCCUCUACUUCUUCAGCUUCUGUUGUACAACGAUACCCCUUUUUCUUAAGGACGUGACAGAUGAGGAUCCCCAAGAGACCCAUGAUGAAGAAAACAGGUACCAAUACAAAGGCAACAUACUCUAGGUGCUCAGGCUUGUUAUUAUUGCCAGCUGUCACAGUAGUUGUCGGUAGAUCACGGCUUGCCAAGGCCUGUACAUCACCGAGAUCGGAGCGGUUCCCCAGCCAGACGGCCGUCGGGCCCAGCGAGGGAGCAAUCGACGGGAUCCCGCUCGCCGCCGGCGGAGCCAUACCCGGCACCACUUCGCGCCGCCUCCGCGCUGGCAGCCCCGCUGCCGCCCGCCCGGCACGGCCCAGCCCAGCCCGGCCCGGCCCACCGGCGGCCGGACGCGCCCUUCCCGCACGGCGACU
rnacentral:lncRNA from 1 species